rnacentral:lncRNA from 10 species
CACAAGUUUUCUUGCCUGACACCGUGAUAAGAUGUACAUUUGCUCCUUCUUUGCCUUCCACCAUGAUUGUGAUGCCUCCCCAGCCAUGUGGAACUCCUUAACUACUAUCAGGAAUCUUGAGGAUCUUCAAAGCAGACUCCUGAAGCAUUUACUGAGGAUAACAAAAAGAAAAGGAUACUGAGGAAGACCACGAGGAAAAACCAGAAGAUGGCCAUCCACAAGCCUAGGAGAGUAGCCUCAGAAGAAACCAUCCCUGCUGACAUCUUGAUCUUGGACUUCUAGACUCCAGAAUUGCUGCAUAAAUGUGACUGCCAUGGGAGUUCGCAGAAGUAUCUCAUGAAAUGGCCUCUUAUGAAGCCCAAGACAGGAAGCAGCAGGUACAGGAUUCAGCAGAGAGCAAUAACUUUCUGAUUUCUGAUGCCACAGAUUAGUUGUGCCUAUCCUUU